rnacentral:rRNA from 1 species
UUUUUAAUAUAUUUUUUCUGCGCGCGGGGAACAUGGCGCACGUGCGCUUUAAAUAUUAUACAUGGUUUCGAAAUUUUUGACGUUUCAGGUAAGUUUUGGCUUGUGGCUCAUUAAUCACGCGUCUAAGGACGGAUAAGUAGUGUUGGCAAAGGUACCGCGUUCUAAAAGGAGUGUAAACCAUGGUGAAACUCGUGUUGGUGCGGUAGAAAGGGGGGGUGUGGAAACGAUGGUAAACUAGUCUCUGUCGUUAAGCGACAGAGUAAGUAGUGAAGUGGAGUAUCCGUUAUUAGGCAGUGCUGACAAAGAAGGUAGGGUCGGGUUUAUAGUGGAGCUUGGAGGGGCGAGCAUAAGGGACGAAGUUGGGGAAACAUGUCGGAUGCCGAUCAUACCAGCACUAAAGCAUCCUCCUGGGAAGUCCUCGUGUUGCAUUCCC